UACGGGGGGGGCAAGCGUUGUUCGGAAUUACUGGGCGUAAAGGGCUCGUAGGCGGCCAAUUAAGUCGGACGUGAAAUCCCCAGGCUCAACCUGGGAACUGCGUCCGAUACUGGAUGGCUUGAAUUCGGGAGAGGGAUGCAGAAUUCCAGGUGUAGCGGUGAAAUGCGUAGAUAUCUGGAGGAACACCGGUGGCGAAGGCGGCGUCCUGGACCAACACUGACACUGAGGAGCGAAAGCCAGGGGAGCAAACGGG
rnacentral:rRNA from 1 species